UACAGAGGGUGCUAGCGUUGUUCGGAAUUACUGGGCGUAAAGGGCGCGUAGGCGGCAUGGCAAGUCGGGAGUGAAAGGCCUGGGCUCAACCGAGGAACUGCUUUCGAGACUGCCAAGCUAGAGUGCGGAAGGGGCAUCUGGAAUUCCCAGUGUAGCGGUGAAAUGCGUAGAUAUUGGGAAGAACACCUGAGGCGAAGGCGGGAUGCUGGCCGACACUGACGCUGAGGCGCGAAAGCCAGGGGAGCAAACGGG
rnacentral:rRNA from 1 species